UACGUAGGGUGCAAGCGUUGCCCGGAUUUAUUGGGCGUAAAGGGCGCGUAGGCGGCUACGCACGUCCGUUGUGAAAUCGCCCGGCUCAACUGGGCGGGGUCAGCGGAUACGGUGUGGCUCGAGCAAGCUAGGGGGCAAUGGAAUUCCCGGUGUAGUGGUGGAAUGCGUAGAUAUCGGGAGGAACACCAGUGGCGAAGGCGGUUGCCUGGAGCUUUGCUGACGCUGAUGCGCGAAAGCGUGGGGAGCGAUCCGG
rnacentral:rRNA from 1 species